rnacentral:lncRNA from 1 species
UGAUAUUUCCUGUUUCUUUUUCCAUUUUUGUUUCCAUUUUUUAUUUUUGUAAGAAGAAAGUAGAAAAGAGGAGAAGAGAGACUCACCUUAGAGGUGGAAACGCCGGAUCCUGGUUCACUCUGCCGUAAUCGGAGCUUGGACCGGGUGUAAAGAGGCUGAGGCGGCGCAACUUAUGAGUGAAAGGAGAUUAGAUUUUUUUUAGGUUUUUUUUUCUUUUCGGUUUAGAGUAAUGUUAGUUUUAAUGUUGGCUUAAAGGGAAAUCAUAAAACGUCACCGUUUGGGCCUGAUUCAAUGGCUCUGAAACGGUGCCGUUUUAGGCCGCGACCCGAUGACCCGCCCAGACGCGGUUAGAUCCGCGUGUUCUGGAGUAGGGAGGGAUAUUUGCGCAACCAGUCCAUCCCUUUUCUGUUUUUUUUAGAAUCAGUGGUCUUAUUUCUUUCCGAUUUAGC